rnacentral:lncRNA from 1 species
AAGCAAGAAAAUGAUUGAUGAAAACGGUGGAACAACAAUGAGAACCUAGGAAUAGUUCUAGAGUAGAUGAAAUAAACAAGAAAAACAAUCACAAAUAAAAAAGAAUGUCAAAUUAAGAUGCAAUGCAGAAAAUGCAAACUGUUUGUGAAAAUGUCUCAGUGAAAGUUUAUUUUUCUGGUGCAGAAUUUCACAAUACAAUUAAUGAUGUGUUGCACUGGUUCAUUCAGCCUUUUAACUUGCUUUUCAUUUCUUUUGGACUAUUUUGAAUUCUUUUAUAUGAACUCAGGCUUUUGCUACAACUUUCAUUCACAUGUUAAUGCACCAAAUGAAUCAUUCACACAGUUUACAAACUCUGCUGCAGCACUUAAUUCACCACGGUAAUGCUGAGAAAAUUGACUGAGAUGUAUAUAAUGAAAAUGCAACGAACCUAUUCUAUGCCAAAUAGCUUUGUACCAGCAAAUUUGUUUGCUAAAUAUAGACUGUUUUGAAUUAACAGUGAGUACAGAUUCAAACUAUAGCAGAUUUUGGCAUGUUCAGUUCAUUUUACACUUUCAUCCACAACUCUAAUAGUCAAAUUUUGAUUCAGCAAUUAAAACAGACUUGUGGCAAUUAAUUGAGGUUCAAAUCAACAAUUGAAAUGUGCUCAAAUAGCAGGAAAUUGUUUUCGGAUGGUUGGCAUUGAUCUAACUACUCAACCAGAAUUGACACACAUCAAAAAAAAUUUGACUCUGCAAAGCUUUGUGCAGAUCGGUCUACUGCACUUUAAAAUGUAAUUUGAGCUUUAUAAUCAUAUUACCACAUCAAUUGUAGAAGUACUAUCAUGCUUUUGUGGUAUUCUUUCUGAAUUAGCUUCAAAUACACAUUCAAUCACUUUUAAAACAGAAAUCAAAACAACUUGCAGCAUAUAUCACACAUUAACACAGAUCUGGUAUGGCUCAAUAUCAUUUCAUGCACUUGAGCUCUUCAUGUAGAGUGUCAUAGCUCAUCAAUUGUGCAGAGAUUUUUGUAUGAAUCCAAAUCAAAAAUUAUGCAGCACCACACGGUUUUGAAAAACCAGAGUUCUUGACAGAUAAAACCAUUAAACUGGACAUGACCGAGACAAAACUAGAAACGAUGCUCAAAUAGAAAAUGACUUAAUCACAGAAUUGAUCCGAUUAAAAAUGAUGAAACACAAUGAAUCAAAGAUAGCACCGAACAAACAUCACAAGAGAACCUAAAAAUACCAUGAAAAUGAAUGGAACAGUGAAAACUGGAAACAAGACAGCAAAAGGAGAUGAUGACAGUAUGGAUCUAACGAAAGAAAACACUUAACUCACGGCAGACUCAUGAACCUUGCUCUGAAUACCAAAUGAUAGCUCCAUC